AGAGUUUGAUCAUGGCUCAGAGCGAACGCUGGCGGCAGGCCUAACACAUGCAAGUCGAGCGCCCCUCCUUCAAGCGAGCUUGGAGGAUUGCGGAGCGGUCUCCUUGGGCGGGCGAAAGCUCGCUUGACGGACAUCGCUGUGAGAUCAAGCGAGCCUUUAGGGGCUCGCUUGAUGGAGGGGAGCGGCAGACGGGAGAGUAACACGUGGGAACGUACCCUUUGGUUCGGAACAACCCAGGGAAACUUGGGCUAAUACCGAAUAAGCCCUUACGGGGAAAGAUUUAUCGCCGAAGGAUCGGCCCGCGUCUGAUUAGCUAGUUGGUGAGGUAACGGCUCACCAAGGCGACGAUCAGUAGCUGGUCUGAGAGGAUGAUCAGCCUCACUGGGACUGAGACACGGCCCAGACUCCUACGGGAGGCAGCAGUGGGGAAUAUUGGACAAUGGGCGCAAGCCUGAUCCAGCCAUGCCGCGUGGGUGAUGAAGGCCCUAGGGUUGUAAAGCCCUUCGGCGGGGAAGAUAAUGUACGGUACCCGCAGAAGAAGCCCCGGCUAACUCUUGCCAGCAGCCGCGGUA
rnacentral:rRNA from 1 species